rnacentral:rRNA from 1 species
UACGGGGGGGGCAAGCGUUGUUCGGAAUUACUGGGCGUAAAGGGCUCGUAGGCGGCUCGUUAAGUCAGACGUGAAAGCCCUCGGCUUAACCGGGGAACGGCGUCUGAGACUGGCAAGCUUGAAUCCGGGAGAGGGAUGCGGAAUUCCAGGUGUAGCGGUGAAAUGCGCAGAUAUCAGGAAGAACACCAAUGGCGAAGGCAGCUCUCUGGGACGGUACUGACGCUGAGACGCGAAAGCGUGGGGAGCGAACAGG